ACCCCCAACCACUGGACAGAAGUUGGUGACCCCUGUGGCUGAAUUGGAGAAAAGCUGGAAGAAGCUGAGUCAGAGGGAAUUAUGGACCAGUGAGAUGCAGGAAAAGGUGCGAGCCUCCAAGUCAGACGACCUGAGUUCAAGCCCUGGAACUCACAGAGUAUAAGACAGAAAAGAUUCUGUUGAGUUUGUUCCUGACCUCGGCAAAAGGUGUUGCCACACUAAUACCAGUGAUGAAAUGAGAGUCCCAGAAGUAAUUCCCGAAUGAUUUGUCAGCUCUCAAGCCGUGAACAGAGAUAACAACAGAGUGUUGUUGUAUAUUUUUUAA